rnacentral:rRNA from 1 species
UACGUAGGGUGCAAGCGUUAAUCGGAAUUACUGGGCGUAAAGCGCACGUAGGCGGAUUGUUAAGUCAGGGGUGAAAUCCUGGAGCUCAACUCCAGAACUGCCUUUGAUACUGGCGAUCUUGAGUCCGGGAGAGGUGAGUGGAACUGCGAGUGUAGAGGUGAAAUUCGUAGAUAUUCGCAAGAACACCAGUGGCGAAGGCGGCUCACUGGCCCGGUACUGACGCUGAGGUGCGAAAGCGUGGGGAGCAAACAGG